AUGAACGCUGGCGGCGUGCCUAAUACAUGCAAGUCGAGCGAACGGACGAGAAGCUUGCUUCUCUGAUGUUAGCGGCGGACGGGUGAGUAACACGUGGAUAACCUACCUAUAAGACUGGGAUAACUUCGGGAAACCGUAGCUAAUACCGGAUAAUAUUUUGAACCGCAUGGUUCAAAAGUGAAAGACGGUCUUGCUGUCGCUUAUAGAUGGAUCCGCGCUGCAUUAGCUAGUUGGUAAGGUAACGGCUUACCAAGGCAACGAUGCAUAGCCGACCUGAGAGGGUGAUCGGCCACACUGGAACUGAGACACGGUCCAGACUCCUACGGGAGGCAGCAGUAGGGAAUCUUCCGCAAUGGGCGAAAGCCUGACGGAGCAACGCCGCGUGAGUGAUGAAGGUCUUCGGAUCGUAAAACUCUGUUAUUAGGGAAGAACAUAUGUGUAAGUAACUGUGCACAUCUUGACGGUACCUAAUCAGAAAGCCACGGCUAACUACGUG
rnacentral:rRNA from 1 species